CGGAUCGUAAAGCUCUGUUGUUAGGGAAGAACAAGUGCCGUUCAAAUAGGGCGGCACCUUGACGGUACCUAACCAGAAAGCCACGGCUAACUACGUGCCAGCAGCCGCGGUAAUACGUAGGUGGCAAGCGUUGUCCGGAAUUAUUGGGCGUAAAGGGCUCGCAGGCGGUUUCUUAAGUCUGAUGUGAAAGCCCCCGGCUCAACCGGGGAGGGUCAUUGGAAACUGGGGAACUUGAGUGCAGAAGAGGAGAGUGGAAUUCCACGUGUAGCGGUGAAAUGCGUAGAGAUGUGGAGGAACACCAGUGGCGAAGGCGACUCUCUGGUCUGUAACUGACGCUGAGGAGCGAAAGCGUGGGGAGCGAACAGGAUUAGAUACCCUGGUAGUCCACGCCGUAAACGAUGAGUGCUAAGUGUUAGGGGGUUUCCGCCCCUUAGUGCUGCAGCUAACGCAUUAAGCACUCCGCCUGGGAAGUACGGUCGCAAGACUGAAACUCAAAGGAAUUGACGGGGGCCCGCACAAGCGGUGGAGCAUGUGGUUUAAUUCGAAGCAACGCGAAGAACCUU
rnacentral:rRNA from 1 species